rnacentral:rRNA from 1 species
GUGGGGAAUAUUGCACAAUGGGGGAAACCCUGAUGCAGCAACGCCGCGUGAAGGAAGAAGUAUUUCGGUAUGUAAACUUCUAUCGACAGGGAAGAAACAAAUGACGGUACCUGAAUAAGAAGCACCGGCUAAAUACGUGCCAGCAGCCGCGGUAAUACGUAUGGUGCAAGCGUUAUCCGGAUUUACUGGGUGUAAAGGGUGAGUAGGCGGUCAUGCAAGUCAUAUGUGAAAUGUCAGGGCUUAACCUUGGCGCUGCAUAAGAAACUGUAUGACUAGAGUGCAGGAGAGGUAAGCGGAAUUCCUAGUGUAGCGGUGAAAUGCGUAGAUAUUAGGAAGAACACCGGUGGCGAAGGCGGCUUACUGGACUGUUACUGACGCUGAGUCACGAAAGCGUGGGGAGCAAACAGGAUUAGAAACCCCAGUAGUCC